rnacentral:rRNA from 1 species
AAUAUUGCACAAUGGGGGAAACCCUGAUGCAGCGACGCCGCGUGAGUGAAGAAGGAUUUCGGUAUGUAAAGCACUAUCAGCAGGGAGGAAAAUGACGGUACCUGACUAAGAAGCCCCGGCUAACUACGUGCCAGCAGCCGCGGUAAUACGUAGGGGGCAAGCGUUAUCCAGAUUGACUGGGUGGAAAGGGAGGGUAGGUGGCGUAUCAAGUCAGGUGGAAAAGCCCGGGGCUCAACUCCGAGAUUGCAUUUAAAACUGGUGCGCUAGAGUGCAGGAGGGGUAAGUGGAAUUCCUAGUGUAGCGGUGAAAUGCGUAGAUAUUAGGAGGAACACCAGUGGCGAGGGAGGCUUACUGGACUGUAACUGACACUGAGGCUCGAAAGUGUGGGGAGCAAACA